rnacentral:tRNA from 2 species
UGCGGGGUGGAGCAGUCUGGUAGCUCGUCGGGCUCAUAACCCGAAGGUCGCAGGUUCGAAUCCUGCCCCCGCUACCA